GGCCUCGCUCCAAUACCUGUGGGUCAACAGUCCUUACAGGUCCUCCAAGCAUCCAUGAUUGUUUGUUCCUGCAACGUCCUGACUGACCACGACGUGCGUAACGUUGUGACCCAAGCCAAGGAUUUUCCGCGCACGGCUGGGCAGGUCUCCGGCUGCCUGGGCUGUAGCGCCGAAUGCGGCCGUUGCGCCCGAACCAUCAAGAAAAUCAUGGAUGAAGCGCUGGGUGCCUGCGCCAAGGCUUGCU
rnacentral:misc_RNA from 1 species